GACGAACGCUGGCGGCGUGCUUAACACAUGCAAGUCGAACGGAAAGGCCCUGCUCUUGUGGGGUGCUCGUGUGGCGAACGGGUGAGUAACACGUGAGUAACCUGCCCUUGACUUUGGGAUAACACUAGGAAACUGGGGCUCAUACAGGAUAGGAGCUCCUGCAGCACGGUGGGCGUUGGUAAGUUUCGGCGGUUGGGGAUGGACUCGCGGGUUAUCAGCUUGUUGGUGGGGUAGUGGCUUACCAAGGCUUUGACGGGUAGCCGACGUGGGAGGGUGGCCGGCCACAAUGGGACUAAGAGACGGCCCAGACGGCUACGGGAGGCAACGGUGGGAAAUAUUACACAGUGGGCGGAAGCCUGAUGCGGCGACGCCGCGUUCGGAAAGACGGCCUUCGGGUGAUGAACCGCUUUCGCCUGUGACGAAGCGUGAGUGACGGUAAUGGAUAAAGAAGCACCGGCUAACUACGUG
rnacentral:rRNA from 1 species